ensembl:lncRNA
GUGAGUAAUUUAAAACGUAUCACCCUGGUUCCAUUGAUUCAAUCUGUUCUAUUGACGACAGGUGGCAGCCAUGAAAUUGAAAUCCAGAUCAUGAGUGCUUCCCAGGUAGUGGUAGUUUUGGCUUUGCAGCAUAUGGCAAGUGUUCAGUCUUGGGAUAGGAAACGGGUGUUUGUUUUCAGCAUCAAUGAUUAACAGCAAAGAGAUUUUUGUUCCUUCUUUUUAGAGGGAAAAUUAUUGAACGUCGAAGUAAAAAAACCAACCAACCAAAACCAACCAACCAAACCCGUGCCUCAAGAAACACCCUGCAGCACACGAGAAUAUGCUCAGUAUUAAGGAAGUGUUUAAUCAGAUUCCAGGCCGUAGGGCUGCUGUUGGGGAUGUGGGUCAAGGAGGAAACUCGGCCUGCUGGCCCCUGCCCCAAUUCCUUGUGGAGUUUCUCAAGAUGCAGCUCAGCACUUCACAGGAUUUACUGCCUUAAAAGUCAUUGCAAGUGCCAACUUCGACAGCAAACCGUGUGUGUGGAGGAGUUUUCACCUUCUGUCUCAGUAUCCCUCAUCCCCGUGAGCUGGAUGGCUUCAGGAGCUCUGCAGUGCCUGGUGGGAGGGGACAGCCUGAUGUGUGCCCACCUACAGGCCGAAUCCCAAUCUGCUUUUCCAAAAAGCAGGGGGUUGAGACUGGAGCACCCCUCCUGUGAAGAAAGGCUGAGGGAGUUGGGCUUGUUCAGUCUGGAGAAGAGAGGGCUCUGAGGUGACUUCAUUGUGACCUUCCGGUGCUUGAAGGGAGCUUACAAGCAGGAGGGAGAACAACUUUUUAUAUGAUGUGAUAGUGAUAGGACAAGGGCGGAUAGCUUUAAACUAAAAGAGGAGAAGUUUAGGUUUGAUGUUUUGAAGAAAUUCUGUACUCAGAAGGCUGUGAGGCCCUGGCACUGCUGCCCAGAGAGCUGUGCUGCCCCAUCCCUGGAAGUGCUCAAGGCCAGGUUGGAUGGGCCCUGGGCAGCCUGAGCUGGUGGGGACAAGCAGCCCAUGGCAGGGGUUGGGGCUGGCUGAGCUUUGAGGCCCCUUCCAACUGAAACCUUUCUAUGGUUCUCUGAGUUUACUGCAUGAGAAGCAUCACUUAAGGGCUCUAAGGGUUUUAGACAGUGUCUGAACGCGGUGCUUCUUGGCCCAUGGCACAAACUGUUUGACUUCAAGGAGUUCAUAUAAUGGCUAUGUUUUUGAUUAACAUCUAACACAUCUAAAAUAAUCUAACCAUUUAAUCUAGUUUAACCUAAUGUAACCUUAAUGCCUGAGUUGUGGCAAGCCCAGGGGAUCAUUCCCCCCAGUUACCCAAAUGCAGUAGGAGAGCUCUAGCAGAUUUGGCAGCUAAACCAGAGAAACUCUGCAGGAAAGCUGUAAAGUGGGUCAUUAAUGCUGAGAUUACUUACCUCGGCACAUUCACCAUGCAUUUUCCUAACUAAGCUUUUUAUUGAAAUCCUGUCCUGCUGCAUUCAGAUGGAGGAAUGAUAUGCUGCUCUGGGUUACGGAGGUUCCAUCCUUUAGUGCUGCCCUUCUGCGUGUAACUUAAUCACUUUUCCAAGCAGCAGUUCUAGAGAGCAGGAGCAUAUCAAGCAAUAAAGCACAGGCUGUAAGUAAGCAGUUUUUUCAUGUUUAAUUACAAAGUGUCCUCAAAGCAGCCAGCUCUGGGAAUGGUUUAUAGACUUUGUGAAAGAUUCGUUUCACCAUCCAUACAGCACCAGAGACACCUGGAGAGCUUUAGUGCUGCCUGAUUAACUCCGGUAUUUUAUUUCCCUCUUCCCUUCACUUAUUCCCCCUGCUUUAAAGGCUCCCCUGUCCGCUUUGCUCUCUGAGAGUCUCUCAAGUUUGUCUGCAAGGUCUGAUUUUUUCUGCUGGUGUCAUUAAUAAUGGAACAAAACCACAUUAACAACUGCAACAACAGUCAGAUAGGAGCCAGGAAGCUCUUUUCACUCUCUAAUAUGCUGCAUGAGUACUCUGAAAUGCUUUAGACAGAGGUUUUGUUGUUGUUGUUGUGUUUUUUUUGCUCACCCUUUUCCUUUGAUGUGUUUUUGGACAGAAGACAAAGGCCUGACCUUGCCUUUUGCUAACGAAAACAAAGAAAUGAACUCCCCAGUGUUAAAAAUGCACAGCAGUUCUAACCUGAUGUAGGAGGCAAUUUCACCAUGGGAGAAAAUUCAGGAAAGAACUGUCGACACGGAUUGGAUGACAUUGCAUCUGCAGGGUCAGAGGGUCGGCUCCGUGUUUCUCUGAGAUGCUUUUGGUAGAUGCAGUAGCACGAGGAGGUCCGAUCCAGCAACAGAACCGUGUGCCAGAGAAGCCAGGGAAAGAGGCAGCAUCCUGCUGCUCCAUACUCCAUAUGCUGUCAGUGGUCCAGGCUUGCCUUAUUCCAUCCUUUUGGAAGUGGGAAUGACAUUCAUUGAGAGGAUGAUGUGUGGCACAAAAAGCCCUUCUCUCACCCCGGAUGAAUCAAUAGCUGUAAUAGGAGAGGCUCAGGGCAGUGCUGGUCUGUCAGCAUUCCUCUGCUUUUUGAGCUAUCUGAGCUGAGCCUCUCUGUGGUUUGAGGUCUGUGGAUUUGGGAAGAAAAUAGAGGAAAAAAAGAAGCAAAGUGAAUUUCACCCUUGAAAGACAUAGAAAUGAAUAUGUGAGGAAGCACAGAUGCUUUCCUGUUUGGAAAUGACAUUUAUCAAAUCAGGAGUACGCAAAGUACACCUGCAAGUAGGGAUGUCCGGGUGACUGCAGUGCCACUGAGUACCCUUCUGGUCUUCCUUCCCUCUUCUUGGUCCUACUCAUCAUGCACAGUGCACACACCUGCAGAUGAUAUCUAAGACACUGGGACAAAAACCAUCAACGUGAGAUGCGAGUUGUACCCUACAAACCAUGCCAGGAGAAACAGCUUUGCCCCAAGAAGCAGCCACUGAACCAGCCAAGGCAGGUGUGAAGACCAUGAAAACAUACCCAAACCCUGCUAAAUUAGAAGAGAUUCUUGCUUGUAUUGAGGAGCUGGCACUGGUCCCCUCCUGCUUUUAGCCCCCAGCACAGACCACACACAGGCUCUGCAGUUCCAGUUGCCCGGAGGACAUCAGGAAACAUGGAGAUGUGACACUGAGGAACAGUGGGCAUUGUGGGGAUGGGUCGACGGUUUGACUUGAUGAUCUUACAGGUCUUUUCUAACUUCAAGAUUUUAUAACUCUAUGAUCUGCCAUCAGGAUGCUCCCAGAGGCUGAAGGAAGGCAACGGCUGCAUCUCUGCAUCACUUUUACCAAAGCUGCUGGGGUGGGAUACCCACUGAUGUGGUCGGUGGGCAUCUGGUGGCACAGGCACACCAUCUCACCCAGAGAGAUGUAUAUGUUCCAUUUGGAGGCUUGCUUCUCAGAUUUCAUAGCCCAGCUCUAUAAAUCAAAGCAGCAUAAGGAACCCCAGGCAUCAUCAAGAUUAGUAGUUGGUGUAUCUGUCAGAAUCUUGUUUUGAUUCAUCUAAAGCUGUGCAAGAAUUGGAUUCCUUUGUAGUGAUUAAUUUCAGGAUUCUUCUCCCUGGGCUAGGCUCCAAAAUCCCACAAGCAGGUUGUGCUCUCUUUCUUGUCUUGGUUUUCAUUCAGCAGCAAGGCUCUCACCCAGCAAAUGCGAGAUGCAGGGCAGGUAUGGACACUUCUGGGGAGGUGGGAUGGAAGAGAACUGGAUGUCCAUUCCAUUUAUUGUGGAAUGUUAGCCCCACUAGAAACAGGAAACAAAGACAAGGUAAUACCAGGAAAAUAACAACAUGUGUGUGAUAAAAUAAUAGCAUUUAUGACCUGGUUUGGCCAUGACAUCAGAAGGUCAGUAAUCAUAUAACCCUUCACAUGACAUCAGUAUCUGAGGUCUGAGGUUACUGUCUGUUAUCUAGAGAAGAGCCUAAUUAGUGUGGUACCACACCAACAAAGAUACAAAAGCGGCUUUUGUCACGUGUAAGAAUUGUCAAACCAUUUCUGAAGAUAUUCAGACUGGAUAUAAGGGAAAGUUUUUACAAUAAGAGUGGUGAGGCGUUGGCACAGGCUGCCCAGGGAGGUGGUGGAGUCACCAUUCCUGGAGGUGUUCAAGGAAAGGGUGGAUAUGGUACUGUGGGACAUGGUUUAGUGGGGAAUAUGGGUGGUGGGUGAACAGUUGGACUGGAUGGUCCUAAAAGUCUUCUCCAAUCUUAAUGAUUCUAAGAUUCUAUUCUGUGAUUUUGUAAUAUUCAUUAUCAGCAGUGUAUUUUCAGCUAUAGAAACAACAGCUCCAUUCACUGCAUGCAAAAGGAAAACAAUCUUAAAGAAGGGCAAAUACACAAAGGGACUCUUCAGCCUUUCCUCCUUUCCAUGCAAGUUUUGAUUUUCUCCUCUCCAUGACCACACCAGCACUUUGUCAUCACUAACCCUGGGGUGUCUCAGGAGAUCGAGCCUGUUGCCCUUCUCUACUCUGGUCGCUGUCCUGAGAUGCUGGAGGAGUGAUAUGCACAGAUUGGGUGAGAAAUUAAAAAGAAUUAAGGCUGAGUUAUAAUUAAGCAAGGCAAUAAUUAAGCGUGAUUAAGUCUAGUUUAAACAGACCGUUUAAAUAUCUCAGUAGGUAUUUUUAUGCAGAUCACCUGACAGCUCUCCAUUUCAUGUAGUGAACGCUUGGUGCAAAGGAUGUCCUGUGACCUGCUCUGUCAGCACAGCCGUGUCCUCACUUGGUCUAACCAAGCUGCCAAAAGCAGAAGCCUUUUUCCACCUGUUUUAUGAUGAGGUUGGAACUGUGUGAUCUUUGAGGUCCCUUCCAAUCCAAACCAUUCUACACCUCUUUGAGUCUAUCAUUCUGUUUUAGCUCUCUGAGCUUGCAGAAGUUCUGAGCCACGUGCCCCCCAGCAAGCUGUGCUUAGUGCUCCUGGCCUCACUACCUUUGUCUGGGCAUGUGGGGGAAGCUGGGAAUAGGCAGCGCCAAAGUGAAUCAAAUCAAACCCAUCCAGCCCUGCAGAAUGACCGCUGAAGCAUUUUAGGCAUGUGGUCUUUUGAAUAAUGAUGUGAUUGAGCACACCGGUGUAAUUAUGGUGUCUGCUGUGGCAGCAAGUGUGGGUAACCCAGGGCAGCCCCAGCUCAGACCCUUGUACACGCUCAAGGGGUGGAUUCCUCCUGGAGCAUCAUGAAUAUCACAACAGCAAUUAGAGCUGUGGGCCCAGCUCCCCACUUCAGCCUGUGUGGACUGCCCUGAACAUUCCAGAGGUGGAAACUUCAUUUAUUUUUUGCCUCUCAUUUGUAGGAGUGUGGUGUGCUAGGUGGAGGAGGUCAUGCACACCAUCACAGUCAGCAGUGGACUUCCCAGCAGCACCAACAGAGGCACAUGGUGUAUGGUAAGUGGGGAGGUACUGCGGGCAUAGGAUCAGAAAAUGCCUUGGGUUGGAAGGGACCUCGAAGACUCUGGGAGGUACACUUCUAUCCAGCAAGUGGCAGGUGAUGGCUCAUGGUGGCAGCCUGUGCCUCCUGGCGAGGGCACUGGGAGGGCUUCUUCGCUUGGGCUCCGAAAAGGGAGAGCUCUGUUACUCGGAGUUGCAUUUAGGUGGUGCUAGAGAGUAAAUAAUUAAAACCUCUGCAGCUGAGGUGUGCAAAUGGGGAGCUGGAAGAAAUCUGUCCCUAAAAUAUUUAGUGAGAAGGUGAGAACGUUGACACUGCACAACAGGGCACAUCUCACAGGACAUGACAGACCCGCAAGGUUUAAGGGAAUGGGCUCUUAAGUCAUCCUGACCUUUUAGUACUUUCUCAAAACCUGAUUAGAAGAAUAAGAGACUCUUGGGUUUUGACCAGUGACAAAAUCCCUGCCUGACACUCUCACCAGAGAGGUACGAUGAGUGUGGUGGUCCAAAUAAAACUUCACAGACCCAGACCUGACUUAUGUGCUCUCUCACCUACAACAGCAGAGCAGGGGCAGUGAGUGCAGCCUCUGCUGUACAUCACCUCCUGAACCUUCCGAAUUCCAAACCAACCCAAUUCUCCCAGUCGUGCAGGGCAGAGGAGGGCUGAGUACGGUGGCGUUCAGCUCCUAGAGAGCAUGGUGGGUCCUCUCCCAUAUUGACUCAGCCUGCAGGAUUGUCUGAGUGAGUUUUGGUAUCACUUGUUGACAGUAAGCAUUCUUUUCUACAUGAGUGUUUUAUUGUCCUGGCAUGGACCAGCCUUGGAUGAGGGCUCUCAGACAUUAUACAUGCUUUAUAAGGUGUAGGACCUAGAAUUUGAUCCAUCAUAGCAACAUGGCAAGGGUAUGACGAUGGUGGGCUCCACGGUGAAAGUCCAACCAGAAAUUUCAUGUUUUAUAUCCAGCUAGCCAGUUUUAAGUUUUGCUGUUGGUUUCAACAGUAGCGUGCCUGAAUGUCAGACAUCACCUCCACUGCAAAGUUAGAAUCAUAGGAUCGCUGUGGUUGGAAAAGGCCUCUAAGAUCACCAAGUCCAACCCAACACCCCCACUGUGCCCACUAACCAUGUUCCUCAGUGCAAUUUCUCCACAUUCCUUGAACAAUUGCAAGGGAUGGUGACUCCACCACCUUCCUAGGCAGCCUGUUCCAAAGCAUUACCACUCUUUCUGAAAAGAAGCUUUUCCUCAUUAUUCAACCUGAGAAGCAGAGUGUAAUAUGGCCAAACUUAUGAUCCAAGCUGUUGUCUUUUGUAUGUCCUUCCCAGCCGUGGUCUUCCUACCCUGUGGGAUUCAUUUGGAGAUUCCAAGAAGGGGAACUUAAGGAACUGUUGCAGAGAUGAAAUUAAGUGGAAUAACAUGACUGGUGCCCACUCUGUGUUUGCCUCUGAGCCUCAUUAUAUGAUUGAUGCUUGAUUCCUGCUUUCUCAAAACUUCAUGUAGGCCUGUGGAGAACCUGUGUUUUAAUUGCAUGAACAGAAGGAACCCAAGGACAGAGAUCAUGGGUUAGACUUCAGCCUAAUUCCCACUAUUUUCACAGUCUUACUCCCAGAUAAGUGUGUUAAAGAUGAGUUUCCUCCUGAUGAGGAAGUUAUACAGCCCAGGCAGCUUCAGUGAUCUUACUCCAGUUCUACCCUGAUGGGGUUGAACUGUAAUCUUUCAUAGGCUGCAGGCAAGUUAGCAUGAAUUCAUGUUAAGGAGACACUGAUUUCCUUGAACUGUUCCAGGACACAAUCUCUGUGUUGUCUCCAAGGACUGCAGUGCUGCUAAAGGCCGUCUUUUCCUUUAUGCUUCCCCAUCCAAGGCAAAUGGAACACUCAGAUGGCCACCACUGCUCAUUAAGGCAUUAAGAGUUCAUUUUGAGAGAGGUGUGUUACCUGAGCACAUCAGAGGGGUCAUGGUUAAAGCAGCCUUCCUGCACUCCCUCUGUAGAUCUGUCUGCUUCCUUUCCUUUUUCCUCAGUCCUGAGCAGUGCUAUAGAGCUUGUCUCAAACCAACCACAUCUGUCCAAGAAGAAGUACGUUUCAGUGGUGCAUUUCUGGAAAUCAAAUGUCUGUUUUAAAUCCAGUAUUUAGGUCCCUGUUCACAGCCUUCCAGUACUUGAAGGGAGCUUAAAGCAGGAGAGGGCCAACUUUUUACACAGUUUAAUAGUGAUAGGACAAGGGAGAAUAGCUUUAAACUGAAAUAGGGGAGGUUUAGGUUAUACAUUAGGGGGAAAUUCUUUACUGAGAGAGCUGUGAGGCCCUGGCACAGCUACCCAGAGAGCUGUGGUGCCCCAUACCUGGAGGUGCUCAAGGCCAGGUUGGAUGGGCUCCAGGCAGCCUGAGCUGGUGGGGGCAACCAGCCCAUGGCAGGGGUUGGGGCUGGGGGAACUUUGAGGUCCCCUCCUACCUGAGGCAUUCUAUGAUUUUAUGUUAAGAUGCUCCUUACAUUUGGACUUAGCAGGUAAUGAGGGUGAAUACAAUGCAUCACUGGUGUUUGCUGAUCUGAUUUUGGGGCUGGACAUCACAUUAAGAUCUCUCCUGAAUAAACUUCAAUUUAAAACAGAACACAACUUUCAGAAAGGCUUCCCAUUGCACUGUAGCAUUUUCAGUGAUGGGGAAUCCACCUCGAUCCUUUGCCAAUUGUUCUAACGUUUAUAGCAUUCAAUGGACCUCACAGUUCACAAAGCUGACCCUUGUCUGUAUUCUGAAUUUGUUUAGUUUUGACUUUUCAACAUCAACCAUUCUGGGAUUCUGUGAUCUUUCCAUAAGCCCUGCCUGCGAGAGAAGAGAUGCUACCAAAGCAACAGGAACAUGCUCUUGUUGUGAUUCAUCCCAAAUAGCUUUCAACAUUACAUUUCACUGCGUCACUCGAGGCUUCCUUUCAGCAAGUAUUUGUACUGAGCAUUAGGCUUCAAUUCACCUGAUCUGGCUCUAGCAACAAACGUCAGCAUCCGGGCAGGAUGACAGCAUCUCCUGGCAGGCAGGAUGCAGUGCGGUGCCCAGAGGCUUCCGUUGCCUUGGGCUUCAUUGACAUUUUUAGACUUCAUCUUCUGUGGAGCAUCUGGGCCGAUAUCAAGUGGCAAUUUGAUUAAGAAGCAAGAACAACAAAAAAUCAGUGCUUUGCACAUUAGGUGAAUUAACUGAUUAACUGAGAGGUCUUGGAAUGUAAUUACAAGCACAAAAUCAUCAUCCAGUCUGUGAAUCUCUAGUGAGGUUGAUUCUCAGCACUAUAGUAUUGAACUGCAUUUAUCAAUGACUGAGCAGGCAAUGAAGUGCAGUCCUCAUCCUGUCCUCAGCUGGGCAAACAAAUGUGAUGCACUUCAGUAUGGGCUAAUGGACAAAAAGAAAAGCAAAGAACCCCAACCCUAUUUGUCCAUUUGGCCAAAGAACUGAAACAAAAUACUGACUCUUCUGGAAGUUGUUUGGUGUU